GACGAACGCUGGCGGCGUGCUUAACACAUGCAAGUCGAACGGAAAGGCCUCUUUCGGGGGGUACUCGAGUGGCGAACGGGUGAGUAACACGUGAGUAACCUGCCCUUGACUUUGGGAUAACUUCAGGAAACUGGGGCUAAUACCGGAUAGGAGCUCCUGCUGCAUGGUGGGGGUUGGAAAGUUUCGGCGGUUGGGGAUGGACUCGCGGCUUAUCAGCUUGUUGGUGGGGUAGUGGCUUACCAAGGCUUUGACGGGUAGCCGGCCUGAGAGGGUGACCGGCCACAUUGAGACUGAGAUACAGCCCAGACUCCUACGGGAGGCAGCAGUGGGGAAUAUUGCACAAUGGGUGGAAGCCUGAUGCAGCAACGCCGUGUGCGGGAUGACGGCCUUCGGGUUGUAAACCGCUUUCGCUCAUGACGAAGCUUUGUGUGACGGUAGUGGGUAAAGAAGCACCGGCUAACUACGUG
rnacentral:rRNA from 1 species